UACGGAGGGUGCAAGCGUUAUCCGGAUUCACUGGGGUUAAAGGGUGCGUAGGUGGGCAGGUAAGUCAGUGGUGAAAUCUCCGAGCUUAACUCGGAAACUGCCAUUGAUACUAUCUGUCUUGAAUUAUCUGGAGGUGAGCGGAAUAUGUCAUGUAGCGGUGAAAUGCUUAGAUAUGACAUAGAACACCAAUUGCGAAGGCAGCUCACUACGGAUAUAUUGACACUGAGGCACGAAAGCGUGGGGAUCAAACAGG
rnacentral:rRNA from 1 species